CAUGUCUAAGUUUAAGCAACUAUACGGUGAAACUGCGAAUGGCUCAUUAAAUCAGUUAUCGUUUAUUUGAUAGUACCUUACUACAUGGAUAACCGUGGUAAUUCUAGAGCUAAUACGUGCUAAAAACCUCGACUUCGGAAGGGGUGUAUUUAUUAGAUAAAAAACCAAUGCCCUUCGGGGCUCCCUGGUGAUUCAUAAUAACUCAACGAAUCGCAUGGCCUUGCGCCGGCGAUGGUUCAUUCAAAUUUCUGCCCUAUCAACUUUCGAUGGUAGGAUAGUGGCCUACCAUGGUUUCUACGGGUAACGGGGAAUUAGGGUUCGGUUCCGGAGAGGGAGCCUGAGAAACGGCUACCACAUCCAAGGAAGGCAGCAGGCGCGCAAAUUACCCAAUCCCGAUACGGGGAGGUAGUGACAAUAAAUACUGAUACAGGGCUCUUUUGGGUCUUGUAAUUGGAAUGAGUACAAUUUAAACACCUUAACGAGGAACAAUUGGAGGGCAAGUCUGGUGCCAGCAGCCGCGGUAAUUCCAGCUCCAAUAGCGUAUAUUAAAGUUGUUGCAGUUAAAAAGCUCGUAGUUGAAAUUUGGGCCUGGCUGUCCGGUCCGCCUCACCGCGUGCACUGGUUCGGCCGGGCCUUUCCUUCUGGGGAGCCGCAUGCCCUUCGUUGGGUGUGCCGGGGAACCAGGACUUUUACUUUGAAAAAAUUAGAGUGUUCAAAGCAGGCCUAUGCUCGAAUACAUUAGCAUGGAAUAAUAGAAUAGGACGUGUGGUUCUAUUUUGUUGGUUUCUAGGACCGCCGUAAUGA
rnacentral:rRNA from 1 species